rnacentral:rRNA from 1 species
ACGGGAGGCAGCAGUGAGGAAUAUUGGGCAAUGGGCGCAAGCCUGACCCAGCAACGCCGCGUGAAGGAAGACGGUCUUCGGAUUGUAAACUUCUUUUGUUAAGGACGAAGAAUGACGGUACUUGACGAAUAAGCCACGGCUAACUACGUGCCAGCAGCCGCGGUAAUACGUAGGUGGCGAGCGUUGUCCGGAUUUACUGGGUGUAAAGGGCGAGUAGGCGGAUCUGCAAGUCAGGUGUGAAAGCCCGGGGCUUAACCCCGGGUCUGCAUUUGAAACUGUAGAUCUUGAGUAUCGGAGAGGCAGGCGGAAUUCCCGGUGUAGCGGUGGAAUGCGUAGAUAUCGGGAGGAACACCAGUGGCGAAGGCGGCCUGCUGGACGACAACUGACGCUGAGGAGCGAAAGCGUGGGGAGCAAACAGGAUUAGAUACCCUGGUA